CAUCCAGCGCUUCGCUGCAGCGCGCUCGCGCAGCAAGACGUUUUCCGCCGCGACAUACGCGAUCGAAAGCGCGAUUACCGAUUCCACGAGGCGCGAAGGCAGCGUGACCAGAUCCAGCGCCGCGGCGGCGAGCGUGAUGCUGUGCGCGAUGGUGAAUGCGGUGACGAUCGUAAUCAGGGUCCAGAAGCGCCCGCCAAGCAGCAGCAG
rnacentral:misc_RNA from 1 species